rnacentral:rRNA from 1 species
UACGUAUGGGGCAAGCGUUAUCCGGAUUUACUGGGUGUAAAGGGAGCGUAGGCGGCGGGGCAAGCCUGAUGUGAAAGCCCGGGGCUCAACCCCGGGACUGCAUUGGGAACUGCCCUGCUGGAGUGCCGGAGGGGCAGGCGGAACUCCUAGUGUAGCGGUGAAAUGCGUAGAUAUUAGGAGGAACACCAGUGGCGAAGGCGGCCUGCUGGACGGUGACUGACGCUGAGGCUCGAAAGCGUGGGGAGCAAACAGG